UUCUUCUUGACGAAGGUUUAUAAGCCUAUUUUGAGCACACAAGCCUGAAAAUUUAUGUAAUUGCAAUAGCCAAUCAAAAAAAAUUCUUCUCCAACAUUAUAUCAAUUAAUAUGCAUUUCCCAAAUUCUCUUGGCGAACCUUCCCUAAAAACAUUUACUUUCUAAAUAUUGUGCAGAAACGAUAUUUUGUUUUUAUUUACUGUUCUUCAGAAUUUUAUUAGCAAAGGAGCUAAGGUAUAACCGAGUGUAAAAUUUAAGCCAUUUUAAACAAAGCUACAUUUCUUCAUACUUCAAUCUACAAUGAAAAAUUACCAGAAAACAA